AAGAAUUAAUGCCCAAAACAAUACUCUUUAGUCCUCAUCGCUUACCACGCCGUAACUAGGGUCUUCUUCUUCUUCUUCUAACGCCUGGUAUCUAAAUUUUUUUUCUCUGUUAUCUGUCAGCAUCAAUGGCGCCUCGAGUAAUUGGAUUACUGAAAUCGAGUUGCAGAAUCUCUUUGUUUGUCUCCAAUAGUCCAAUCGCGUCUUAUAGCCUUCUCUUCUAAUAAUCCGAAACGUUCCGAGUUAUUCAUCGCAUUUAUCACCUUAUUAACUCCAUAGGCGACGUGAACCACGAUCUGACUUUAAUUGUGAGUUAUACCUCUGAACUACACCUAUAAAAAGGUUAGCUUUCUUCACUUGAACAUCAUCUUCUCAAUCUGUGAAAACACUAAUCUAUAUAAUACCUGUGAAAUGGCCAACUCAUCAAUCUUCCUUUCUGAUCUGAGCUCCUCCACCGUCCAAGUGCCGUUGCUCAGGUUCUGGAAAGCCAGAAAUGUCCGAGUGGAGGGGAACUGAUGUCUCUUGAUAUGCUCUUACUGGAUUCAAAGGCCGUUUGUUCCUUAAUGCAACUUCAGGAACACACAUUUAUUUCGAUAAGGAGACUAAUGUUAGGAGAGGUCCUCUUCUACAAACACUGGGCUUCAGUCAGUAGCUCCGCUUCUGAAAGGAUAUGCCACGGUUGAGAAUCUGACCAUAUCCGAGCUUAAUGAGUUUGUCAUAGCUGCACUGUCUCAGGACAUCGAUUUCAUGUGUUCUGGGAAAGUGUUGAUUUAGGAACUGAUAAAUUCAAAAAGAAAUGUUCCUAAAUGUUGCAUAAUGAGAGAUAUGCAAUGUGAUUAAAUUUGUUAAACUUGCGGGAUUAUAAGUCGACACAAAAAUACACAAACCAUUUAAUUAUUAGUCACUUAUUGAUGAGUUAACUCAGUGCUACACUGAAAAAAACA